UACGUAGGGGGCAAGCGUUGUCCGGAAUCAUUGGGCGUAAAGAGCGCGUAGGCGGUCCGGUAAGUCGGUUGUGAAAACUGGGGGCUCAACCCUCAGAGGCCGACCGAUACUGUCGGGCUAGAGUCCGGAAGAGGCGAGUGGAAUUCCUGGUGUAGCGGUGAAAUGCGCAGAUAUCAGGAGGAACACCAAUGGCGAAGGCAGCUCGCUGGGACGGUACUGACGCUGAGGCGCGAAAGCCAGGGGAGCAAACGGG
rnacentral:rRNA from 1 species